rnacentral:ncRNA from 2 species
UAACAGGUCUGUGAUGCCCUUAG